GCUUAACCGGAGAAGUGCAUCGGAAACUGGGAGACUUGAGUGCAGAAGAGGACAGUGGAACUCCAUGUGUAGCGGUGGAAUGCGUAGAUAUAUGGAAGAACACCAGUGGCGAAGGCGGCUGUCUAGUCUGUAACUGACGCUGAGGCUCGAAAGCAUGGGUAGCAAACAGGAUUAGAUACCCUGGUAGUCCAUGCCGUAAACGAUGAGUGCUAGGUGUUGGAGGGUUUCCGCCCUUCAGUGCCGCAGCUAACGCAUUAAGCACUCCGCCUGGGGAGUACGACCGCAAGGUUGAAACUCAAAGGAAUUGACGGGGGCCCGCACAAGCGGUGGAGCAUGUGGUUUAAUUCGAAGCUACGCGAAGAACCUUACCAGGUCUUGACAUCUUCUGCCAAUCUUAGAGAUAAGACGUUCCCUUCGGGGACAGAAUGACAGGUGGUGCAUGGUUGUCGUCAGCUCGUGUCGUGAGAUGUUGGGUUAAGUCCCGCAACGAGCGCAACCCUUAUUAUCAGUUGCCAGCAUUAAGUUGGGCACUCUGGUGAGACUGCCGGUGACAAACCGGAGGAAGGUGGGGAUGACGUCAAAUCAUCAUGCCCCUUAUGACCUGGGCUACACACGUGCUACAAUGGACGGUACAACG
rnacentral:rRNA from 1 species